GAAAGCCGGAUGCAGGAAAACCGCACGUACGGUUUGAAGAAGCGGGGUUUGGGAAUCUAAU
rnacentral:sRNA from 1 species